rnacentral:rRNA from 1 species
UACGUAUGGGGCAAGCGUUGUUCGGAAUCACUGGGCGUAAAGGGAGCGUAGGCGGAGAGGUAAGUUAGGGGUGUAAUCUUCGGGCUUAACCCGAAGUUUGCCUCUAAUACUGCUUUUCUUGAGUAGUGGAGAGGGAGACGGAAUUCCAGGUGUAGCGGUGGAAUGCGUAGAUAUCUGGAAGAACACCAGCAGCGAAGGCGGUCUCCUGGCCACAUACUGACGCUGAGGCUCGAAAGCGUGGGGAGCGAACAGGAUUAGAUACCCUGGUAGUCCACGCCGUAAACGAUGGACACUAGAUGUCGGUUCUGUCAUGGGAUCGGUGUCGUAGCUAACGCGUUAAGUGUCCCGCCUGGGGAGUACGCUCGCAAGGGUGAAACUCAAAGGAAUUGACGGGGGCCCGCACAAGCGGUGGAGCAUGUGCUUUAAUUCGAUGCAACGCGAAGAACCUUACCUGGGCUUGACAUGGGAGUGAAAGGUUCCAGAGAUGGAGCCCCUUCCUUCGGGAACACCCUACACAGGUGCUGCACGGUUGUCGUCAGCUCGUGUCGUGAGAUGUUGGGUUAAGUCCCGCAACGAGCGCAACCCUCGCCCUUAGUUGCCAUCAGGUAAUGCUGGGAACUCUAAGGGGACCGCCUGGUUUAACCAGGAGGAAGGUGGGGAUGACGUCAAAUCCUCAUGGCCCUUACGUCCAGGGCUAGACACGUGCUACAAUGGCCGGUACAGAGGGAUGCGAAGCCGUGAGGCCCAGCUAAUCCGUCAAAACCGGUCUCAGUUCGGAUUGGAGUCUGCAAUUCGACUCCAUGAAGGUGGAAUCGCUAGUAAUCGCGGAUCAGCAUGCCGCGGUGAAUAUGUUCCCGGGCCU